rnacentral:tRNA from 1 species
GACUUCUGAGUAGUUCACCGCCCUCCGGAGGCGGGAGCGCAGGUUCGAAUCCUGCCGGGGGCACCA